rnacentral:lncRNA from 1 species
GAAAUAUUUUGUCGGUUCAGAGUAAUCCCUCCGAAACCCAAAAACCUUGUUAUCGUUCCAACACCGUAACCGUAAUAGGUAGAAAAAAAAUGAAGGGUGAAAUUUGUUCAGGACCAGACCCCGGUUCUUCGUUACAUUUGGAUCGAAAAGAUUCAAUGACUCAUUGGUAGGGUUAUGCCCCUAUGAAAAUUAACCGGUGUCGGUUGGCCACCAAAACUCAAAAACCGUAAGUCGUAGACACAUAGGAUCUUCACCAAUC